GUUACACUUACUCUCCCUGCAUCACAAUGCUGAAAUAACACUAAUAAACCAGUGUGUCCAAUGCACAGGCAUAUACACACUCAGGGCCAAAUCCUGCUGUACCCCUAGAGCUGCCCUUUGCUUCAGGUCAGGGGCCUUGGUGCCAGUGGACAUACUUGUCUUGGCCUUGCUAUACUUAUGUGAAAGAUGAGGACUGAAAGUCUGGAGAAGAUGCACAUCGGCUACUUGGCCUGUAAGGGAAGAGAAAAUCAGCACCUUUGAAGACCACAGUUUCUGUUUCCAGCAAAGAAAGUAUAAGACCAAGUGGUAUUGAUGGACAUCAUGGCACUGCCACCUCUGAAAUGUCUUCCUUCACCUCCUCCAUGUCUUUGGGAGUUCUGCAUGAUAACCUUCGAGGUGUCAAGGUGGGAGGGUCAGACAUCCAGCUCUCUUACCAACCAGUGGGACACACUGACGGAGAAGGAGGAAAGGAGCCCCAACAGAGUAAAAGUUAAACCUGGACCAACACAGAGUCCCUCAGCAACCCCUCUUCUCUAGAGUGCAGGGGAUACUGGGUACUGCUACAUCUGCUUUCACUUACUUCAAGUCUAUCCCUCUUUCCCAGCAAAAGCUCAGGGUUACUUCUGGAUUCCAGAGCAGGCUCCAGGCUCUGACUCCAAGGCUGUAGAUGUCAUACCCUUGGUUAAAUAUUGAGAGUGUGAGGCAGGGCUAGUGGAGAUUGAGGGGAGAGAAGUCUUGUUCCUGAGAGAAACAUCAAGAAUCUAUCAAUAAUUGAAUGGUUUAAGGGCCUUUUAGCUCCUUCAGUAUACCUCUAAUCCUGGAGUAGGGGUAGACAAAGGGUGAGAAAGAAGGCCUUCAGAAAGCCUG
ensembl:lncRNA